rnacentral:misc_RNA from 1 species
UCCGAGUUGACCCCGGCAGUCUCUUACGAGUCCCCACCAUAACGUGCUGGCAACAUAAGAUAGGGGUUGCGCUCGUUGCGGCACUUAAGCCAACACCUCACGGCACGAGCUGACGACAACCAUGCACCACCUGUGUUCCCGCCAGCCGAACUGAAGGAUGCCGUCUCCGGCACCCAUACGGGACAUGUCAAGCCUAGGUAAGGUUCUGCGCGUUGCUUCGAAUUAAACCACAUGCUCCACCGCUUGUGCGGGCCCCCGUCAAUUCCUUUGAGUUUCAGCCUUGCGGCCGUACUCCCCAGGCGGGGCACUUACUGCGUUAGCGACGGCACCGGGAGGGUCGCUCCCCCCGACGCCUAGUGCCCAUCGUUUACGGCGUGGACUAC